UCUAAGGUGACUGCCGGCUAAAAGUCGGAGGAAGGUGGGGAUGACGUCAAAUCAUCAUGCCCCUUAUGGACCUGGGCUACACACGUGCUACAAUGGGCGGUACAAAGGGUCGCGAACCCGCGAGGGGGAGCCAAUCCCAAAAAGCCGCUCUCAGUUCGGAUUGCAGGCUGCAACUCGCCUGCAUGAAGCCGGAAUCGCUAGUAAUCGCGGAUCAGCAUGCCGCGGUCGAAUACGUUCCCGGGCCUU
rnacentral:rRNA from 1 species